rnacentral:rRNA from 1 species
UGCAGUCGUACGAGAGUUUUUAACUCAAGUGGCGGACGGGUGAGUAACACGUAAGAAUUUACCUUUAGGAGGGGGAUAACAACUGGAAACGGUUGCUAAUACCCCAUAUGCUUUCGAGUGAAAUGGAUUUUUCCGCCUAGAGAGAAGCUUGCGGCUGAUUAGCUUGUUGGUGAGGUAAUGGCUCACCAAGGCGACGAUCAGUAUCUGGUUUGAGAGGACGAUCAGACACACUGGAACUGAGACACGGUCCAGACUCCUACGGGAGGCAGCAGUGGGGAAUUUUCCGCAAUGGGCGAAAGCCUGACGGAGCAAUACCGCGUGAGGGAUGACGGCCUAUGGGUUGUAAACCUCUUUUUUCAGGGAGGAAUCAAUGACGUGUACCUGAAGAAUAAGCAUCGGCUAACUCCGUGCCAGCAGCCGCGGUAAGACGGAGGAUGCAAGUGUUAUCCGGAAUCACUGGGCGUAAAGCGUCUGUAGGUGGUUUAACAAGUCAACUGUUAAAUCUUGAGGCCCAACCUCAAAAUCGCAGUCGAAACUAUUAGACUAGAGUAUAGUAGGGGUAAAGGGAAUUUCCAGUGGAGCGGUGAAAUGCGUAGAGAUUGGAAAGAACACCGAUGGCGAAGGCACUUUACUGGGCUAUUACUAACACUCAGAGACGAAAGCUAGGGUAGCAAAUGGGAUUAGAUACCCCAGUAGUCCUAGCUGUAAACAAUGGAUACUAGAUGUUGAACAGAUCGACCUGUGCAGUAUUAAAGCUAACGCGUUAAGUAUCCCGCCUGGGNANUAUGCUCGCAAGANUGAAACUCAAAGGAANUGANNGGGNCCNCACAAGCGGUGGA